rnacentral:tRNA from 1 species
UUUCGAGUAGCUUUUAUUAAAGUGUUGCUUUGAAGAAGCAGAGAUUUUCUAAU